AAACUAACUAGGAUUCCCUUAGUAACGGCGAGUGAACCGGGAUGAGCUCAAAUUUGAAAUCUGGCGUCUUUCAGGCGUCCGAGUUGUAAUCUAUAGAGGCGUUUUCCGCGCCGGACCGCGUCCAAGUCUCUUGGAAUAGAGUAUCAAAGAGGGUGACAAUCCCGUACUUGACGCGACAACCGGUGCUCUGUGAUACGUUCUCAAUGAGUCGAGUUGUUUGGGAAUGCAGCUCUAAAUGGGUGGUAAAUUCCAUCUAAGGCUAAAUAUUGGCGAGAGACCGAUAGCGAACAAGUACCGUGAGGGAAAGAUGAAAAGCACUUUGGAAAGAGAGUUAAACAGCACGUGAAAUUGUUAAAAGGGAAACGAUUGAAGUCAGUCGUGUGGGAAGUAUUCAGCCGUCUCUGGCGGUGUAUUUGCUUCUCACGGGUCAACAUCAGUUUGAUCCGGUAGAAAAAGGCGGGAAGAAGGUGGCACCCUCGGGUGUGUUAUAGCUUCCUGUCAUAUGUGCCGGACCAGACUGAGGAACGCAGCUUGCAGCAAUGCCGGGGUUCGCCCACGUACAAGCUUAGGAUGUUGACAUAAUGGCUUUAAACGACCCGU
rnacentral:rRNA from 1 species